UACGUAGGGUGCAAGCGUUAAUCGGAAUUACUGGGCGUAAAGCGUGCGCAGGCGGUUAUGUAAGACAGGUGUGAAAUCCCCGGGCUUAACCUGGGAACUUCAUUUGUGACUGCAUAGCUAGAGUACGGCAGAGGGGGAUGGAAUUCCGCGUGUAGCAGUGAAAUGCGUAGAUAUGCGGAGGAACACCGAUGGCGAAGGCAAUCCCCUGGGCCUGUACUGACGCUCAUGCACGAAAGCGUGGGGAGCAAACAGG
rnacentral:rRNA from 1 species